rnacentral:lncRNA from 1 species
UAUAUUAUAUCUAAUAAGUGAAGGAUAAAAAAGACAGAGAUGAGAGUGCAUUCCCACGAAAGUGAGAAUCUCACUCCUCACUCAAAAAAUAAGUAGGACUCCCACUUUCCUCCUUAAAUAAGUAAAUAAACGUUUGAAUGGAAAGAAUUCACACUCCCACUCCAGCAAGUAAAUACAAUAUUAGAACACUAUGAGAGGAUCCUAAUCUACUCCCAAAAAGCCUAAAAUUUGGGUACUUAUUACAACCAAAUAAUCCUAAAAAAAAAUUGAAAAGAGUUAUAAAAAUUAAAUAAAUGUGUAUGAUCAUUAGAUAAGUUAUACUAAACAUGUACUAAAAGGUCCCAAUUAUAUAUAUGUUUAUGUUAAAAUAAGUUCCAAGGUUAUGCUAUUUGCGCCAAUUUUAGGAGGAUAAUAAUAAUAAGAGAGAUGUCUCAAUUGCUUUCGUCUUGUUGAUUUUAAGGAGUUUAACUACAGUGAAUCAACAAAUACUACUUAUUUUAAUAUAUUAUAUCUAACAAUAAUGUUAGGAAUCCCAACAUUGGAGUCUCAACUUGAGUUCCAAUGUCAUGUGUCACUUAUUCGUUAGAUGAUGAAUUUUAUAGUUUGUAAAAUUAUUUAACCACCAAUUAAGGGAUGAAUGACACAUUUGUUAGAAUUCAAAUUGGGAUUUAGAUGUUGAGAUGCCUAGCAUUACUCUAUAUUUAAAUAGGAUCAAAAAAAUGCAGUAGUACACAAUAUGGUAUAAAGGAAUUAAGACUAGUAGAUGAUAUAAUUAAAUAGGUUUUAUAGGAAACAUAUAUCCAGUUGGGACUUUUCAUAUAAUUUUUAAGAAUGCAUGGAUUAAAUCGAUGAUUAGCUUAAACUAUAACGAUUGAAAGAGCACUUAUCUUAUUUCAAAACCCAUCGAAAUAUUGUUGCUGUUAAAAAAAAAAAACCAAAAACAAAAACAAAGGUGCUGCUAAUUGAUCGUCAACGUUGAUUAUAAUUUAUAAACACAUGCUAAUGUUUGAACUUUUUUUGUCGAUGUGCACAUAAAAGUCGGUCUGGCCGUGAUUACUGGGUUUUCACAUUGACUAAUGCGCGUUUGCUUUCACCUUAAGAAAAAUGCUGGAUAUCAAGAAUGUUGCACCUGCGACGUGUCGGUUUUGUUGUAAAGUAGGGAAUUGGAAUCAUGCGUCCAUCCGGGACACGCAUGUAAACGCAGACUGUUUUCUCCGGCCCAUUGACGCGUGACUCUGUGACAAACACAAUUCGGUCUUAUUUUUAUUGUCAUUUAGCAUAAUGGAAAGGAUGCAUCUACGCAGACUAUGCUUCCCUUAAAUUUGUCAUUUAGCAUAAGGUCAUUGAUGUGGGUUCAUUGCCUUUUGAUAAUUAAUUUGUCUGUGUUUCAAUUUUCAGAUCAGCCAUCCAUUUACGCCUAUACCUUAGAAAAAUAUCCCAAGACAUCUUUGUUAUGCAAUAUGUGACACUCUUAUUUUUAUUUUUCUUAUCUUUUAUAAUAAUAUCCUUAUGGUGCAUUUGGUGCAACUUGAAUUAUGGUAGAUGCAAUAAUAUUUUAUAUCAUU